rnacentral:rRNA from 1 species
GGUUAAGCGACUAAGCGUACACGGUGGAUGCCCUGGCAGUCAGAGGCGAUGAAGGGCGUGCUAAUCUGCGAUAAGCGCCGGUAAGGUGAUAUGAACCGUUAUAACCGGCGAUACCCGAAUGGGGAAACCCAGUGUGACUCGUCACACUAUCAUUAACUGAAUCCAUAGGUUAAUGAGGCGAACCGGGGGAACUGAAAUGAAA